ACUUCCGGGGUCGCAAAGUUUUUGACGCUAGAUGUGUUUUGUGAGUUUUAGCCAUUCAAGAAAAUAGUAAAGCUGAGGCUUGAGGAAACUUUAGGCAGUUUGCCCAGCUGUAUAAAGAGUGAGAUGAUGAGUUUGGGCACUCCUUGCGCAUCUAUGUGCCCAGCCCUCAAAAUAAUGGAACAACAACAAAAACCGUGCCUGGAUUAGUUUACGUUUUACUUGAGGGAAACCUAAAAUGAGCAUACAAAUAAAUUAUGGUGAGCUACAGAGUAAGACAUGGUAUGGAAAAAAAAUAGAACAGGAUAAAAGAAGAUGAAGAGACAUUCAUCUUUUUGAGACGGAGCCUUGCUUUAAUGCCCAGGCUGGAGUGCAGUGGCACGAUCUCCGAUCACUGCAAACUCCUCCUCCUGAGUAGCUGGGACUACAAACACGUGCCACCAUGCCCGGCUAAUUUUUGUAUUUUUGCAGAGAUGGAGUUUCACCAUGUUGGCCAGGCUGGUCUUGUACUCUUGAUUUCAGGUGAUCUGUCCGCCCUGGACUCCCAAAGUACGUUGCAAUUUUAAAUAGGAUUCUCAGAGUAGGCUUCAUUGAAAACGUUACAUUGAGCCAAGGUUUGAAGGAGGUAAUGGGCUAAACUAGUUAUCUGAGGGAAGAGCUGUUAAUCUGAGAAAAGCUGGUUAUCAAGGAGAAAAGCUGUCCUGGCAAAGCAAACAGCCAGCUCCAAUGCUCCUAGUCAGUAGCAAGCCAGGAAAGGCAAGAAGUGUUGAGAUUGGACAGGUGGUGUAGAGUUUUGUAAGGACUUUGGCUUUUAUUUUAUGUGAGAUGAAGAUCUCUUAUAGAAUUUUGAGGAAAAGAAUGGUAUGAUCUUAACAUCUUAAAAGUAUCAGGCUGGUGCAGUGGCCCAUGCCUGUAAUUUUAGCACUUUGGGAGGCCAAGGCAGGAGGAUUGCUUGAGCCUGGGAGUUCAAGACCAGCUUUGGCAACACUGUGAGACCCCAUGUCUACAAAAAGUAAAAAAAUAUAUAUAUCUGUUUGGGCAUGGUGUACAUCUGUGGUCCCAGCUACUCAGGAGGCUGAGGCAGUAGGAUCCAUUGAGCCUGGAAGGCUAGGUUGCAAUGAGCCAUGUUGGUGCCACUGCAUUCCAGCCUGGGUGAGAGGGUGAGACCCUCUCAAAAAAAUAAAUAAAAAUAAAGUAAAAGCGUCAUUCAGAAUCUUCUUUUGAGAAGAGCCUAUGCAGGGGCAGGGUGUGUGGAAGAAGGGAAGAAAUGAUAGUGGCCUGAACCAGGGUAAGUCUUGUGUAGGUGGUUGAGAAGUGAUUCCUCUGGAAGGUAAAGUUACUGAUGGAACUGAAGGGAGGACAUGAAAGAGUCAAGGAUGACUCCAAGACUUUCGACCUGAGUGAUUCAAAGGAUGGAGUUACCAUCAGGUGAAAUGCGGGAAAGUUCAGAUGGAACAAAUCUGAGAGCAUUAUUCACAAUAGCCAAGAUUUUGGAACAACCUAAAUGUCCGUCGAUGGAUGAAUUGACAAACAAAAUGUGUUAUAUACAUUCAAUGGAAUAUUAUUCAGCCUUAAAAAGAAGGAGACCCUGCCCUUUGGGACAACAUGGAUUGACCUGGAGCACAUUAUGCUGAGUAAAAUAAGCCAGAUACAGAAAGACAAAUAUUGUAUGAUUUUACUUCUGUAUGGACUCAAAAAAGUCAAAUUCAUAGAAGCAGCAAGUAGACUGGUGGUUGAGUAGUAGAGGUUGAGGGGAGAGAAAAAUGGGGAUAUUUUGAGCAAGGAUAUGGAUUCUCCAUUAUGAGAUGAAUAAGUUCCAAAGAUCUAAUUAUAGCAUGAUGACUAUAAGUAAAAAUGCUGUACUGUAAACUUGUAAUUGACUAAGAAGGUAGAAGCAUUCUUAAUGUAGGGGGAUAAAAAAGUAGCUGUGUGAGG
rnacentral:lncRNA from 1 species